UAAGGAAUAUUGGACAAUGGGCGCAAGCCUGAUCCAGCCAUGCCGCGUGAAGGAUGACGGCCCUAUGGGUUGUAAACUUCUUUUAGCAGGGAAAAAACCCCUCGAUGCGUCGGGGGCUGAUGGUACCUGCAGAAUAAGGAUCGGCUAACUCCGUGCCAGCAGCCGCGGUAAUACGGAGGAUCCAAGCGUUAUCCGGAUUUAUUGGGUUUAAAGGGUGCGUAGGCGGAUAAAUAAGUCAGUGGUGAAAGCC
rnacentral:rRNA from 1 species